UAUCCAUGUGGAGGGCAUUUUAUCAACAAAUCCUUGAACCGCUCCCAACUUUCAAAAAAAUUUUCAUCCUCCUCAUGAGUGAACGAGCUAAUCUCCUUUCUACACU